rnacentral:snRNA from 2 species
GAAAGUUUGCUCUUUUAGUAUUUCUCCAGUAGGGGUUUUCAAGGAGAAGUCCUAC